AGAAUCAACGCUGGCGGCGUGCCUAACACAUGCAAGUCGCACGAGAAAGUGGAGCAAUCCAUGAGUACAGUGGCGCACGGGUGAGUAACACGUGAAUCAUCUACCUCCGAGUGGGGAAUAACUGAGAGAAAUCUUAGCUAAUACCGCAUAACACUUACGAGUCAAAGCAGCAAUGCGCUUGGAGAGGAGUUCGCGGCAGAUUAGUUAGUUGGCGGGGUAAUGGCCCACCAAGACAGUGAUCGGUA
rnacentral:rRNA from 1 species